CAAUCUAAGGAUAAGGGACCUGUUAUUGACGAAGCUGGAACGGGUGUUAUUGUAAAGGAGGUGGUUGUGCCAACUGUGGUUGCACACGUCCAAGGCAAGGGAAAGAGGAUACAACAGGAGUCCGGAGAUGUGGCGUUGAACGUGGCAGCAUCUAGAGUCAACAAGGCAAGUCUGGCUGACAGGUCUCCAUUCAAUGAGCGGGCUGUUAGACUAACAGCCAAGGCGAACAUUUGUAUACAAGGAGCUCUAUUACUGGGUACUAAGCACGGCAGAAAAAAAUAAGGACUCCAUUGUCUAUAAAGACAUCUUCAGGAAACAGUACAGGGUGAGUUCCAAUCCUUUGCACCCUUCAACAUGGUCAGCCCGGCAAUUGUAGACACCUGGACUUCUUACUUGAACAACAUGGAGAAGCUGAAAGCCCCGGAGACUAUUUCAAGGCUCUUCUUCUCCACAAAUCCUUGCAAGCACACCGUUGUCGACACUCCAGCAGAAUGGAUUGAGCAGCGGCAAUUUGAUACGUUCUGGACCACACUGUUCGGAGAAGCGCUGGGUAUGGGAAACCUUCAAUGGGAGAACUAUGAUAUGGUAAAUGCUUGUUGCUUUGUGCAUUAU